rnacentral:lncRNA from 1 species
UACUACCAGUACGUGGGUUGGUAUGCGCUUUUUUUAUUUUUUUUAUUUUAGGUUAUACAAGUCUCAUUUUGGGUCGGUCUUUGAUAAAGCACAAAGUUCUAUGUAAACAACGUAUCACCCAUGCGUAUCCAAAUACCAUUGCUGUCAUAAACAAGGGAAUGAUGUCCAUUGGGUGAUCAAUCAUAGGAACGCGUGUUUUAAAUUACAAGUUUUCUUACAAAAAAGGUUGACCUUCGGUCAACACACGGACACGAAAUCCACAAACACG